GUGAAGUUUUUCAUAUAAACGUACUUAUGUCUCUGUAUUUCGCCUUCAUUCAUUCCCAUAUCAUGUAUGGUCUCACUGCUUGGUGAAACACGUAUGACUGUCAUCUGUCACCCAUUCAGAACAUACAAAAUCAGGCGAUCCGCAUUAUCACUAAUAGCUCACGAUACUCCAGUGCAGGCCAUCUACUCCAAGACAACAAAAUCCUACCUGUUCCCCGCAAAUGUGGC